CGCUCGACAUCAGAGUUUGAUCCUGGCUCAGGACGAACGCUGGCGGCGUGCCUAACACAUGCAAGUCGAACGGAGCUUGCUUAAACGGAGACUUCGGUCAAAGUUUUCGUAAGCUUAGUGGCGGACGGGUGAGUAACGCGUGAGUAACCUGCCGUUCAGAGGGGGACAACAGUUGGAAACGACUGCUAAUACCGCAUAAUGUGCAACCAAGGCAUCUUGGAUGUACCAAAGGAGCAAUCCGCUGAAUGAUGGACUCGCGUCUGAUUAGAUAGUUGGUGGGGUAACGGCCUACCAAGUCAACGAUCAGUAGCCGGACUGAGAGGUUGAACGGCCACAUUGGGACUGAGACACGGCCCAG
rnacentral:rRNA from 1 species